CUCACCGACACGCCCCACGGAAUCCCCGAUACACAAGAGGUUCCCGCGUCUCUAACAGUCUUGAGAACCGGUCGGGGCAGAGAUUAACAUUACAGGUUGACUAUGUUUUGGUGUAAAUACGGAGGAAGAACUCCCCCUGCUGGUUGGGCCUGAAGGUGGAGGCCAUUAUAACGUAAGUGCCAGGUUCAAGGUGCACCUUCCUCCAGACACUCCUGAUGCUCCGGUACUUUCCAGACCGACUGACAGGCCUGUUGUUGGAGAAAAACUGCUGGUCUAGAGAACCUGGUUUGUCCUUCAACUAAAGGAGCUCCACCAAUAUUGUGCCCUUCUUCUUCUUUUCCUGUUUCCCGGUUUUGAUCACCGGAGGCGGCACAUAAACUUCAUCUUCUUCUCCAGCCGGAUCUUCGUCCUCAAUCUCGUCCUCUACAAAGUCAUGUUCAUC